UCUUUGGGAUCGGGGAAAGGGCAGCCAGGGGUGUCGGAGGAUGCGGGGACGCGGAACAGAGGAGGGACGAGGGAGGUGAGGAGAGGAUGCGGCGGCGGAGGGGAAGAGGGACGAAAAGUGGAAGCAGGAGGGGACCUGUGGGAGCGGAGGCUGGAGAGGGCGUCGUGGGGUUGAGGUGAGAGCCCGGUUCGGCUCAGUGGAGGUCCGGUCGUAGGCGAGGUAGGGCGAGAAGAGGUAGACUCGCCGCCGCUCGGGUGCCUAGACCACGGGGACCUCACUUUCUUUGUUCCUCAUACGCGGCGGUCUACCUCCUCCUCUACCGCGGGUCCCUCUCACCGCCACCGCCGGGUAGACGGAUGCUGGCUCGGGCCCCUGUUUUUACCGCCACCGCCGUCCCUCGUACGCUCGUUGCUGCCACUGACCUGCGAUCCUCGACCUGCUCCACCAGGUACGGCUCCUUCUACCGCAACACACUAUUAAAUCCGCAAGAAGGAAGAAUCAUACUUGCCUAUCCAACUAAUGUUUUAUAUAAACUUCUAACGUCGUCCACGAUUUACGAACCGUUUGCCUUUAUUAAUCCAUUCGAAAUUUAAACGGAUCUCUCUCUGAUGAGAGCGUAGUAAUCCAUAGCGGGUGUUUCUAGAGCGAACCACUCCGUACGUGUGGAUACGGUGUAGCAAUGUAUGGGAUACGUGGACGGAGGAAGGAGGUCCGCGGACUUCCGAUUGCACACCUCGACUGCUCGAUUUGUUCCCCGACCUCGUCCUAACAUCCUCCCUCCAUGUGAUCCCCGACCUCGUCCUGUUGGUAACAAAGUCUAGGGUGAACUGAGUAGGGUUCACCAACGUUACAGAAGAAUACUUUCAAAAUAAAUGUGUGUAUUACUAUUCUCUGGUUAUAAAAGGUUUUCUAAUCUAAGUAUCAAAUUUCUUCCUAUGCCUUUAUACUUUUAUUCUCGAAUACAAGCAUUUUAAACAUGUUUUACAGGGAAAGGUAUUACUUGAACCAAAGAUUAGUGUGUGUACAUGACGAUGUACUAGGAUAUGCACGACAAACUUAGUUCACUAUCCUAUGACCGUAAAUAGAGGCCCAAAUAAUCCUGAAUAACCGCCCCUGAAUCUAUUAAAGAAUUAGAACGUGAACAAGAGUGGUAACUCUGACGUAUACACCAGGAAUGUAGCCUAUACGAAGACCUAGACGUCAAUAGGGUCGGAUUGACUCUAAACAAACUAAUAAGAUGAUAAAGAAAACUCAUUAUGGCUGAUUUAACCAAAUGUUACAAUGACCACCAGACUUCGAAAAUAUCUUCGUAAACACACAAAAGUUCGAAUCCUCAUUCCUCAAGUUCCUCGUUACUAGCUUAAAACACUAGACGAAGUUUACCUAGACGACGACUUUUACUAGGAAUUGAGUUAUAGAUAGAACUAGAAGUCGGGCAUGCCAAUCAUUCCGUGUAAUAAAACUGUUUUUUUAUUCCUAGGAGUUAACCAUAAUAUGUACAACAAUCCAUGUUCAUGCAACAUCCAGUUUCCUUUUUAUUUAUCUAUAUCUCUCCAUAUUUAAGUUGUUUUUUGUUAAAAAACUAUAUUUCCGAUAAGGUAAACAAUGGAUAACAUGAACGGGUACUGAUUUUGUUAAUUAUGUACCAAAAGAAAGUUUCGUAUGUACCUUAGUCACCCGGAGACACGGUGAACCGUGUUGCCAAUAUCACCACGGUUCUCUAAGUCAUAUAAGUACUUCAACACGUUUCGAAUUUUAACCAACGCCAUAGAGCGUAAACAGUUUAGAAAUAUACAACAACCACAGUAUGAAUACGGUUCUUAUAAUUCGAACAGGAUACGACACUGAUUUAUUUUCGUUACAAGUCUGAAUAGAAAACAAACGAGAUGAAUUUCUCAAGUUCCAAAUGGGUCUCCCGUUAAUAUACAAAGGAUGACGACAGAGGGCGUACUGCAGCUCUUUUAGUAACUACAAAGAUAAAAUGAAACGGUUGUAAAAACAAAAGUUUAUCAAGAUGGAGAGUUAGACUAUAAAGAUGAACGAAAACGAAUCAUUAUACUACAUAACAAAAGAUCGAGAUCCGGAUGAACACAAGUUCCAAGUCAACUAAGACAAAGAAUUCCCACAAAAAAAAUUAAUCACCGUAGUUGUACACCGUGAUUAAAGCAACACGUAACAUGAUACUAAAAAGGUUUGUUAUGGUAAUACCAUUUGUCGAUACGAUUAUUCCCAGUCCUCUUGUUAUCUCUACGAUUCUCAGUUGGAAAACCCCAAUUCCUAUAUUUGUUGUUGUCCCCAAUACUCAGGCUUCUCUCGAGCUCACCGGAGAAAACCAAGAACUUCCGGACGUGAAAGGACCACCUCAUCGUCGUCUUAUAUAAGUCUCCGAAAUUUCGAUAACGUGAAGUGCAUCAAUACUAGUUAAGAAACAAAGUCAAACUUUAUGAGGGGUGAAGGAGGAUAUACUCAUUAAGAAGACUACCUGUAAAACAGUCCGUUUAUUUGUCUUCCGUAUACAUAACAAUGCUCACUUCGGUAGGUAUGUUCAGCUCUAUAAUUAUUAGGGUAUACACCUUAAACUCUACAUCUCUUUACAAUAAUAAGAAGUCGAUUAACCAAAGAACUGGUUUACAUAACAUUUACUGCAAUAAUAACAAGUUCUAUAUGUAUUUACAACAACAAGAAGUAACAUCACCUACUAUAGGUAGGGUUAAUAACUCUACUACCUUCAUGAUGAUUCCUCAAAACAGCGACUGACUUACUUCGACGACUCCUUCGUCCC
rnacentral:rRNA from 1 species